rnacentral:rRNA from 1 species
ACGAACGCUGGCGGCGUGCCUAAUACAUGCAAGUAGAACGCUGAAGAGAGGAGCUUGCUCUUCUUGGAUGAGUUGCGAACGGGUGAGUAACGCGUAGGUAACCUGCCUUGUAGCGGGGGAUAACUAUUGGAAACGAUAGCUAAUACCGCAUAACAAUGGAUGACACAUGUCAUUUAUUUGAAAGGGGCAAUUGCUCCACUACAAGAUGGACCUGCGUUGUAUUAGCUAGUAGGUGAGGUAAUGGCUCACCUAGGCGACGAUACAUAGCCGACCUGAGAGGGUGAUCGGCCACACUGGGACUGAGACACGGCCCAGACUCCUACGGGAGGCAGCAGUAGGGAAUCUGCGGCAAUGGGGGCAACCCUGACCGAGCAACGCCGCGUGAGUGAAGAAGGUUUUCGGAUCGUAAAGCUCUGUUGUAAGUCAAGAACGGGUGUGAGAGUGGAAAGUUCACACUGUGACGGUAGCUUACCAGAAAGGGACGGCUAACUACGUG